rnacentral:rRNA from 1 species
GCCGUAAACUUCUUUGCACGGGCACNGGAAGACUGACCGCCCGGGAAGCAAGCAUCGGCUAACUCCGUGCCANCAGCCGCGGUAAUACGGGGGAUGCAAGCGUUAUCCGGAUUUACUGGGCGUAAAGCGUCUGUAGGUGGUUCGGUGUGUCUGUUGUCGAAACGCAGGGCUUAACUCUGCGGGGCAUUGGGAUACUAUCGAACUGGAGGGCGGUAAGGGUGGGGGGAAUCCCUCGAGGAGCCGUGAAAUGCUUAGAUACGUGGGAGAAGGCCGGAAGCGAAAGCUCCCCACUGGGCCGCGCCUGACACUGAGAGACGAAAGCUAGGGGAGCAAAAGGGAUUAGAUAUCCCUGUAGUCA